rnacentral:rRNA from 1 species
GAGUUUGAUCCUGGCUCAGAGCGAACGCUGGCGGCGUGCUUAACACAUGCAAGCCGAGUGCGCGUUUCCGUAGCAAUACGGAAAUGGCGCACGGCGCACGGGUGCGUAACACGUGGGUAAUCUGCCCUCUGAUGGGGAAUAACUCGCCGAAAGGCGAGCUAAUUCCGCAUAACAUUCCUUGAACCUCGGUUUGGGGACUCAAAGCCGUAAGGCGUCGGAGGAGGAACCCGCGCACGAUUAGUUAGUUGGCAGGGUAACGGCCUACCAAGACUUUGAUCGUUAGCUGGUCUGAGAGGAUGGCCAGCCACACUGGAACUGAGACACGGUCCAGACUCCUACGGGAGGCAGCAGUGGGGAAUCUUGCGCAAUGGGCGAAAGCCUGACGCAGCGACGCCGCGUGGAGGAUGAAGCAUUUCGGUGUGUAAGCUCCUUUCGACUGGGACGAAUACCUCGCAAGAGGGGUGACGGUACCAGUANAAGAAGCCCCGGGCUAACUACGUGCC